AUGUAAACUAAAUUAAAAUGGGUGAUACCGUCCCUUUUAAUAUGUGGUUUGCGAAUUGGUUUCUUAACGAAAGAAGGAGACACGUGUAAGAAGGUGGGCAAAACAAAACAUGUUUUUUUUUUCCUUUUCUCUUGUUUCUUUCUCGGUUCUUUCUCUUGUUCUCUCCGUCAUCUCUCUUCGGUUCUUCGACAUCUCAGAGGACGACGAUGUUUGUUCUUCAUCUUGUCUUGGUCGAUCGAUUGAAGAUCGGAAAUCAUGGUUUGUUCUUCGUCAUCUCUUCGUCUUCUCUUGGUUGAUUAAUGGAAGAUGAGAGUUGAUGGUUUGUUCUUCGUCUUCUCUUCGUCGAUGGUUUGUUUCUGAGGCAGAUUUUGUCGAUUGAUGGAAGAUCAGAGUCAUGCAUCAAGAAAGGAGAAGCUGAGAUUCAACGAUCACAAGAAGAAUCAAGUCUUCUUUAAUAAAGGUAUCUGAAAGAGACAGGACACAACAUGGAGCACGAGUGGAAGAGAAUGAUUCUCAACUGGAGAUUAUACAGAGCAAGGGAUAAAGUGAUUACAGAUGGUGUCUUUGUUGAGGCAGAAGCAUUGAAUUGAAACAGAGGAUGGUUAACAAUCACAUCGACGAGCUUUGUUGAGGCAGAAGCAUUGAAUGGUACGAGUAACUCACUCCUUUUGCUAACUUUUUUCUUUACUGAUGGCGUGAGUUAAUUGUGGUAAUGAAUGAUGCUUACAGUUAGGUUGUGGUUAGGACAGUGUGCUCGCUUAGAGUUAAGUUUGUGGUAGAGUUAAUUGUGAUAAUAAAUGUUGCUAACAAUUAGGUUAAUUCUGAUAACUCAUCUAUAUUAAACUAUGUAGUUACUGCUCUUGCUUUCCAUCUGCUAAACACAUUUCUUCGUAUUUCUCUCUUCCUUCCAUCAGCUAAACACGUUCAUUGUGACUCUUUCCAUCUUCAAACACAUUUAUUCUGCUUUCUCUCUUCUUUGACAGUCUAGCAUAUGGAUUCUACGAAUCCAUAUAGUCAAAACGCCAACUUUGUUGAUCUGUUGAACAGUCAACAAGAUGGUUUCCCUCCUCAAACCUUUUUCCGUGAGAGUUGUUCACAACUCCCUGUUUUUAGUACUCAGUGUACUGAACCUUCAAGUUUGGGUGAAGACACACCAUCAGAGAGAAAAGAAAGAAAGAAAUAGAGUCUCACCGAGGAUGUUGUGCUUAUUAGCGCAUGUUUGAACACCAGCAAAGACCCUGUUGUAGGCAAUGAGCAAAAAGCUGCUACUUUCUGGAAGCGUAUAGCUGAUUACUUUGCAACUAGUCCAAAAUUCAAGGCAGUGAAAAGCGAGGGUUUAACCAGUGUAAGCAGAGGUGGCAGAAGAUAAAUGAUCUCGUUUCCAAGUUUUUUGGUUCUUAUGAGGCUGCAACAAGACAGAAGACAAGUGGAAUGAAUGAGAAUGAUGUAGUUAAACUAGCACACGAGAUCUUCUUCAAUGAUCACAAGAUCAAAUUUAAUCUUCAACAUGCGUGGGAUGAGUUAAGGUAUGACCAGAAAUGGUGUGAAGCAUCUAGCAGUAAGAUUGAUGGAAGCUGUAAGAAGAGAAAGUGCAACGAUGGUGCUCAGUCCUCAAGCUCUUACGCAGCUACCAAUGAUGCUGAGCAACGUCCUCCUGGUGUCAAGGCCUCAAAACGAGGAAGUGGUAAGAGAAUCGGUGAAGCCCUCAAGGGUGUCUCUGAGUUUCAGAACUUGUGGGCAAUUAAGGAGAAAGAUUUGGAAGUGAAAGAGAGACUGUCCAAGAUGGGGCUGCUUGAGACUCUCAUUGCCAAAAAAGAGACACUAUCUGACUUUGAAGAAGCUUUAAAAACGAAGCUUAUUACAGAAAUGUUGGGCGGCUCAGAGUAGUUUGUUCAUCACAUAGUGGAGCAUUGCAGUGAAACCGAAGGGUGUUGUGUUCAUCACAUAGUGGAGCAUUGCAGUGGUCUUCUCGUGUUGUGUCACAGACGUGGAAAAGCAUAAGUGUUUUGUUGUUUUCUUGUGUCAGUCUUAUGUCUUUGUUGGUUUGUUGUGUCACGGAAGUAGCUAUGUCUUUCUUGGUAUGUUGUGUCAAGGAAACAGCUUGGUCUUUCUUGUUUUGUUGUGUCACAAGACUACUGUUGGGUUUGUUGUUUUGUACUCGCAUUGUCUUUAAAUGAAAUGAAGUUCUCUUGUUUGUAAUGAAAUGAAAGUAUUCACGGAAACAGUUUGUAAUGAAAUGAAAGUAUUCUAGUUUCUUUGUGUCAUUUUCAUCUUCUCUCGCUCAAAUUAUCUUUCUCAUAUUCUCUUUCUCAUAUCAUCGCCAAUAUCAUCUUCUCUUUCUCUUACCAAGGGCUGCAACAAAACAUACCAAGGUGUGAUAUACCAAGGCCUGCAACAAAACAUACCAAGCGGUACAACAAAACAAGGGCUGCAUAAAGAGAUACCCCGUAAGGCAAUUCACAAACAUUCAUCUUAGUUUUUUUUAUAAUGAAGGUGAUUAAGAAUGGGUCUAAUACCUACCAAGUUAUAUUUUUCCAAACCUUAUAUAAUAUGAAGCUUUAUGACAAAAAAAAAAUAUAAUAUGAGGCUUAGUUUUUUUUUUAAUUGAAGGUGAUUAAGAAGGUUUUAUAAUAUGAGGCUUCAUGAAAAAAAAAAAUAUUGAUGAAUAUUUUGAUGCAGGUAACCAUGGCAUCUUCUUCUCAUAAUAAUCCUGAUGAUUUUGAUCAAUAUUUUGAUGAAUAUUUUGAUCAAUGUUUUGAUCAAACGUUCGAGAAUCUUGUCGUUGCUUAUGGUGGUCAAGAAGAGGAGAAGUCGGAAAGGAAAAAACGUGUUUAUAUCGAAAAAAACCGUGAAGCAGGCCAUAUAUGUUUAUGGAAUGAUUAUUUCAGUGAAACUCCAACAUAUCCUGGAAAUUUCUUCCGACGACGAUUUAGAAUGAACAGGUGAUUGUUCAUGCACAUUGUUGAUUGACUCUCCAACGAAGUUCACUUCUUUCGUCAAAAGAAAGAUUGUCUUGGAAGGCUUGGGCUCUCUACACUCCAAAAGUGUACCGCAGCUAUUCGUGUCUUGGCAUAUGGUACUGCGGCUGAUACGGUCGAAGAAUACCUCCGGCUCGGUGAAACUACAACUCGGGCGUGUGUGGAAAAGUUUGUGGAAGGAAUAAUAAAUUUAUUCGGCAAUGAGUACCUAAGAAGACCAACACCCGCUGAUCUUCAACGUCUAUUUGAUAUUGGUGAGCAGCGUGGAUUUCCCGGGAUGAUAGGAAGUAUCGAUUGUAUGCAUUGGGAGUGGAAGAAUUGUCCCACGGCUUGGAAAGGGCAAUAUUCUCGUGGUUCAGGUAAGCCAACCAUCGUUUAAGAGGGGGUUGCUUCAUAUGAUCUCUGGAUAUGGCAUGCAUUUUUUGGACCUCCAGGUACCUUAAAUGAUAUCAAUGUUCUUGAUCGCUCACCUGUUUUUGAUGACAUAAUAAACGGUCAAGCUCCGCAAGUCACUUACUCCUUCAAUGGAAGAGAGUACCAAUUGGCUUACUAUCUCACCGAUGGGAUUUACCCGAAAUGAGCAACUUUUAUCCAAUCUAUUCAAAUAACACAAGGCCCGAAAGCAGUUUUAUUUGCUCAGCGUCAAGAAGCUGCCCGAAAAAAUGUCGAGCGUGCUUUUGGAGUCUUGCAAGCUCGUUUUGCCAUUGUUAAGAAUCCGGCACUUUUUGGGAUAAAGUCAAAAUUGAGAAUAUUAUGAGAGCGUGUAUCAUACUCCAUAAUAUGAUAGUAGAAGACGAACGAGAUGGAUACACUCAGUUUAAUGUUUCAGAGUUCCAACAAGGAGAAGAAGCCGGAAGUUCACAUGUCGAUCUCACGUAUUCUACAUAUAUGCCUUCAAAUAUCGCCAAUAUGAGGGGUGUUCGAACUCGAAUUCGUGAUAAACAAAUGCAUCAACGCCUGAAAGCUGAUUUGGUUGAACAUAUAUGGCGUAAAUUUGGACGUGAUGAAGACAACAACUGAGCUCCGACUAGUGUUUCAAAUUAUUGCCGUUUAUUUUAGUAAUCUUUGUUUUUAUGUUUUUAUUUAAAAUCCUAUGUCGAAAAUGUUAUCUUUUAAUAUGUUUUAUUUAAUAAAUAAAUUUUAUCUUAAAAAAAAAUUAAUAAUUUUUUUAAAAAAACCUUUAAUUAAGAAACUACUGUUGGAGACACAAAAUCGAACAGUUUCUUAACUACAUUUCUUAACUCCACUAACUAUAUUUAUAUAAUUAAAUAAUCAUUUAGAAACUCAUUAGUGUUUCUAUGGAUAAAGAUGCUCUUGUAUAAGCAAAUGUUAUUGUUUUGGACAGCAUAACCAAAUGACUUUACACAAUGUUAAACUAUUAUCACGUAAAUGUUGGGCGUGACUUUAGAAUAAUUAUGACAUGCUCCCGUCUUUUCUUCUUUAGGUUACAACUAUUAAAAUUCAGGUUACAAGAUAAACAAAGCUAUUAAUUUCCUUAUGGAUUUUCAUUUUUCAUUAUCUUUUAGAAAAACGAAGAAAAAUACACGUUUAAAUAAAGGGAAAAGUGGGUGUUUAAAAGGAAAAAAGAGAGACAAAGUGGUUCAAUUAUGGCAAUCAAAUGUUAAUAAAGCUUAGAAUAGUCCCAUGCUUUAAAAUCAGGGAAAGAGAAUGCGUUAAAAUGUAGCACUCUAAAGUGUAAAGCAAGGUUAAAGACAUCAUCAUGCAACUAGCUUUGAUUAAAUUAGCUUAUACAUUUCCACUUUGUUGCGCGGAUAAUGUUAUUGAAAUCUAUUUCACUGAAUUUCUAAUACAGUACAUAAAAAAAUUACAAAGAUCUCACCUC